rnacentral:rRNA from 1 species
CCUACGGGAGGCAGCAGUGAGGAAUAUUGGUCAAUGGGCGCGAGCCUGAACCAGCCAAGUCGCGUGAGGGAUGAAGGUUCUAUGGAUCGUAAACCUCUUUUAUAAGGGAAUAAAGUGUGGGACGUGUCCUAUUUUGUAUGUACCUUAUGAAUAAGGAUCGGCUAACUCCGUGCCAGCAGCCGCGGUAAUACGGAGGAUCCGAGCGUUAGCCGGAUUUAUUGGGUUUAAAGGGUGCGUAGGGGGCCUUUUAAGUCAGCGGGGAAAGUUUGUGGCUCAACCAUAGAAUUGCCGUUGAAACUGGUGGGCUUGAGUAUGUGUGAGGCAGGCGGAAUGCGUGGUGUAGCGGUGAAAUGCUUAGAUAUCACGCAGAACCCCGAUUGCGAAGGCAGCCUGCCAAGCCAUGACUGACGCUGAUGCACGAAAGCGUGGGGAUCAAACAGGAUUAGAUACCCUGGUAGUC